rnacentral:rRNA from 1 species
UACGGAGGGGGCUAGCGUUGUUCGGAAUUACUGGGCGUAAAGCGCACGUAGGCGGAUUGUUAAGUUAGGGGUGAAAUCCCAGGGCUCAACCCUGGAACUGCCUUUAAUACUGGCAAUCUCGAGUCCGAGAGAGGUGAGUGGAAUUCCGAGUGUAGAGGUGAAAUUCGUAGAUAUUCGGAAGAACACCAGUGGCGAAGGCGGCUCACUGGUCCGGUACUGACGCUGAGGUGCGAAAGCGUGGGGAGCAAACAGG